GGGCAGCUAGUCUAACAAAGACAGUUGAUUUCGACUCAACCAAUUGUGGCUAAACUCCAUAGCUGCCCU
rnacentral:tRNA from 1 species